rnacentral:rRNA from 1 species
GACGAACGCUGGCGGCGUGCUUAACACAUGCAAGUCGAGCGGUAAGGCCCUUUCGGGGGUACGACGAGCGGCGAACGGGUGAGUAACACGUGGGUGACCUGCCCUCAGCUCUGGGAUAAGCCUGGGAAACCGGGUCUAAUACUGGAUAUGACUCCAUGACGCAUGUUGUGGGGUGGAAAGCCUUGUGCGGCUGAGGAUGGGCCCGCGGCCUAUCAGCUUGUUGGUGGGGUGANGGCCUACCAAGGCGACGACGGGUAGCCGGCCUGAGAGGGCGACCGGCCACACUGGGACUGAGACACGGCCCAGACUCCUACGGGAGGCAGCAGUGGGGAAUCUUGCGCAAUGGGCGAAAGCCUGACGCAGCGACGCCGCGUGAGGGAUGACGGCCUCGGU